rnacentral:rRNA from 1 species
CAGCAGCCGCGGUAAUACGUAGGGUGCAAGCGUUGCCCGGAUUUAUUGGGCGUAAAGGGCGCGCAGGCGGCUACGCACGUCCGUUGUGAAAUCGCUCGGCUCAACUGGGCGGGGUCAGCGGAUACGGCGUAGCUAGAGCAAGCUAGGGGGCAAUGGAAUUCCCGGUGUAGUGGUGGAAUGCGUAGAUAUCGGGAGGAACACCAGUGGCGAAGGCGGUUGCCUGGAGCUUUGCUGACGCUGAGGCGCGAAAGCGUGGGGAGCGAUCCGGAUUAGAUACCCGGGUAGUCCACGCCGUAAACGAUGUCGACUAGGUGUCGGGGGUAUCGACCCCCUCGGCGCCGGAGCUAACGCAUUAAGUCGACCGCCUGGGGACUACGGCCGCAAGGCUAAAACUCAAAGGAAUUGACGG